GUUGUUGUGAGACAGGUUAGUGUGGAAAGGAUUUUUCAUCUUACCAUCAUUUGUGAUUGAUUUGACAUUUGUUGUUGCCUUGUAUUAUGCCACAAUGAAGAGAAACACAUUCUGAAUAACUGGGAGGUUUACCUUACGAACUGGGUGUUUUCCUUUUAGAAAUCCACUGUCCAACCGCUGUUGCCCGGGUUACUUACAGAUGUAAUAGACAAGGCACAUGAACGAAUAUCACGCCUUCUCCUCAUUGUAGAAGUUAUCAUCUUGGGGAUUGCGUCUGUUGUGAUGCUGCGUGGUGGCUUCAUGGUGAAAUUUGGCAGGGAGAAUGUCACGUCCUCACGUGAGUAUCAAAGUUAUUUGUUCACUUUGUUUGUUAGUUUUUUCAACUGAGUGUCACCGAACUACAGCGAACAUUGUUUUCAUAUUUGUUACGUUUUAACGUUUCUUCUUUCUGACGCUAGACUGAAUUAGUUAGUAACACCCUAAAAAAUGAUCAAUUUAUUCGGUCGUAAGCUCAAUGCCUCAAUGGUUGAGGCGCUAUCGCUUACUUCCGGUAUACUUCCGGAAAAUUUGCAUAAAACUAGCAAGUGGGCUUUGUUCUCUGCACAAUUCUAAAGACUCCUUGCCAGUUUAAGCAAACUGAAAUUGUCAUUUUUGAUUACUUUUGUGACUAUCUAAGGCCGUCCUUUAUUAGAUAGUGAGUUUUAGACGUGUCGAAUAGAUGGCGUGAAAGAAUAUUAUGUUGUCAGAUAUGGGCUUAUUACGGCAGCUCGUUGUCUAAAGUUCAGCUACCCAGCAACAGCGGGUUCUGUUCUGUUCUUUUCUUCGAAAAUUACAAAUGAAUUCGUACGUUAAUUGGAUAGAUUUUGUGUGCAAUUUGUUUGACAUGUGUUCUUUUCUGUUUAUGUGUUUAAUAACUUAAAUAUUUCUCAUUAAUUUUUCCAUGAGAAAAUGUGAAAGGAGCGAGAUGCAGCCUACUGUCAACUAUUGUGUUAAAAAUCCUGGUAUCAUCCUACUGAAUAUGUCAUCCAAAUGACAGAGGUGGAUUCAUCAGAAAUAUUGGCUGAUUCUAUUGGACUUGCUAGAUCGUUUUAUCCCUAGAAUGGACCAAUCUUUCAUUCAAUCUUCUAGAGAACCUUGGAUAACUGAUUGGUGGUUUUGUGUGUUUUAAACUAUAGGUAUUUAAAUUUGCACGACGUCCUUCAACGUUCUUGGACUGACGUCAGUCAGCAAGGUAGGCUACCUUGUUUGAUAACCUGUUGGCUGCUUCCCUUGAAUCUCCCUUUUUACUUCUUUAAGCUUGAUUUGAGGGUACUCCUUCACUACUUAUCAUCAACUUCAUCCAUUGGUGAUGCUGUAAUUCAAGACUGAUAAAUUAGUUAGUCAGAUAAAACAAGUGCAUAUCUGGGCUCCCUUCUUUUCUGUGGCCCUGUUUCCCUAACUAACCACUAACCA